UACGUAGGGUGCAAGCGUUACUCGGAAUUACUGGGCGUAAAGCGUGCGCAGGCGGUUAUGCAAGACAGAUGUGAAAUCCCCGGGCUCAACCUGGGAACUGCAUUUGUGACUGCAUGGCUGGAGUGCGGCAGAGGGGGAUGGAAUUCCGCGUGUAGCAGUGAAAUGCGUAGAUAUGCGGAGGAACACCGAUGGCGAAGGCAAUCCCCUGGGCCUGCACUGACGCUCAUGCACGAAAGCGUGGGGAGCAAACAGG
rnacentral:rRNA from 1 species